UACACAUGCAAGUCGAGCGGGGAAAAGUAGCUUGCUACUUUACCUAGCGGCGGACGGGUGAGUAAUGCUUAGGAAUCUGCCUAUUAGUGGGGGACAACAUCUCGAAAGGGAUGCUAAUACCGCAUACGUCCUACGGGAGAAAGCAGGGGACCUUCGGGCCUUGCGCUAAUAGAUGAGCCUAAGUCGGAUUAGCUAGUUGGUGGGGUAAAGGCCUACCAAGGCGACGAUCUGUAGCGGGUCUGAGAGGAUGAUCCGCCACACUGGGACUGAGACACGGCCCAGACUCCUACGGGAGGCAGCAGUGGGGAAUAUUGGACAAUGGGGGGAACCCUGAUNCCAGCCAUGCCGCGUGUGUGAAGAAGGCCUUUUGGUUGUAAAGCACU
rnacentral:rRNA from 1 species